CAGCCGCCGCGGUAAUACGAAGGGGGCUAGCGUUGCUCGGAAUGACUGGGCGUAAAGGGCGCGUAGGCGGCAUAUACAGUCAGGCGUGAAAUUCCUGGGCUCAACCUGGGGGCUGCGUUUGAUACUUGAUUGCUAGAGUGGGGAAGAGGGUCGUGGAAUUCCUAGUGUAGAGGUGAAAUCCGUAGAUAUUGGGAAGAACACCGGUGGCGAAGGCGGCGACCUGGUCCUUGACUGACGCUGAGGCGCGAAAGCGUGGGGAGCAAACAGGAUUAGAUACCCGCGUAGUCCCUGUCUCUUACCA
rnacentral:rRNA from 1 species